GAUGAAGAACGCAGCGAAAUGCGAUACGUAAUGUGAAUUGCAGAAUUCAGUGAAUCAUCGAAUCUUUGAACGCACAUUGCACUCUCUGGUAUUCCGGAGAGUAUGCUUGUUUGAGUAUCUGUAAACAUCUCAAAUCUCUCUUCAAUUGCUUCAAUUGGGUCGAGAGAAUUGGAUUUGAGCGAUCCCGACUCCUUCGUCAGAAAGAGGAGGGUCGCUUGAAAUGCAGGUGCAGCUGGACAUUCUUCUGAGCAAAAAGCAUAUCUAUUUAGUCCCGUCAAACGGAUUAUUACUUUUGCUUCAGCUAAUAUAAAGGUUGAAUGAACUACCAACGCUGAUUGCAGGAAAACAUGUUCGUUUAUUCGGACUUGUAAACUCGAUCUCAAAUCAAGUAAGACUACCCGCUGAACUUAAGCAUAUCAAAAGCGGAGGA
rnacentral:misc_RNA from 1 species